UGCAUGUGUCACCCAGUUAUUGUAAAUGCCGAUGUUCUUGUCUUCCUAGAGAGAGAGACCCUGAGAGAAGACUUUACUUGACUCGGGCUGCAACCUCCAUAUCAGAGUCAGGUAUAGGGUAGAUGCUCAGUAAUUGCUUGCUGAAUAAUUUUCUCAGCAUUUUGAAGUUUUACCUCUUAACAGAAUGGCUCAAAAAAGUACAUCUUAGAAAUGGAAAAUUUUAAAUCAACCAACUGUUGUUUGUAUCUUACUAUGUACCUAGCCCUGUGCCUGAUGUUGUGGGAGAUGCAGACAUGGAUGGACUAGGGACUGUGCCCUUGAAUUUCUCAAGAUCUAGAGGAGGAGAUGCACAUGUCCCUCAAUAACUCUGACACAGAUGGGAUGUGUGGACAAAGUAAGAAAUGGUUUCACACAAACAGGAGCCCUAGGGGAGAUUGUAUGGAAGAUGCAUCAUUCAUCUGAAACUUGUAUGGAGUUUCUUGAAUGAUAAAGCAAAUACUGGCUGGCAGCUUUGGGGGAGCAGUGAUCCAGUCAUGUUUAUCAUGACAUCUCUCACUUGCAUUCAGCAAGUGUCUAGUGAAUGCCUGCUGUGUGUCAGGCAAUGUCCAGGUUGCCGGAGAGUCAGAGAGAAACCAGUUACAGGGAUAUAAACACAGACUCUUCACCCCUUUCCUUUCUUCUCUUCCUUCUUUCUCAUUGCAGCUCCCCUACUGCAUGCCAAUUGCAAAAUCUCUUCCUCCUCCCUCUUCAACCUGUUUUCUUUUGCUUUCCUUGUUCUUCCUUAUUCUUCCUUAGUUCUCACUUGUCUAGACUUAGGCAUGCUGUUUCUCUCUCUCUCUCCUCUUUCUCCUCUCUCUCUCUCCUCUUUCUCCUCUCUCUCUCUCUCUCUCUCUCUCUCUCACACACACACACACACACAAUUGUUUUGACUCAUGUUGGGAGGAGGGUCUGUGUUAAGUUUCUAGGCUACUAUAACAAAUAAUCAAAACCUGGAUAUCUUAAAACAACAGGAACUUAUUGUCUCACAGUUCUGGAGGCUAGAUGUCUGAAAUGAAGAUGUUGGGAGAGACAUACUCCUCUGAAGGCUCUAGGGGAGAAUCCUUCCUUCCCCUGGUGUCUCCAGGCAUUCCUUGGCCUGUGGGCUGCAUCAUGCUUAUCUCUGCCUCUGUCUUUAUGUGGCCUUCCCCUCUUCUCUUUCUGUCUCCAUGUGUAUCUCUCCUCUUCUUAUAAGGACACCAGUCAUUGAAUUCAGGGCCCACCUUAAUCUAGUAUGACCUCAGCUUAACUCAUUACUUCUGCAAAGACCCUAUUUCCCAAUAAGGUCCCAUUCUGAGUUUUUAGGUGGAUAUGGAUUUUUGGGGGGCGCUAUUUAACCCACUAUACGGUGGUUGAAAAGAGCAUUGCGCUUGGAGUCUGAUACCUCAGACAGCUAAGUUAACAUUGAAGCAACUCAAUUUCCUCAUCUGUAAAAUAGGCAUAAUAUGGCCUAUUUUAUUGGGUAGCUAUGGGGAUUAAAUGAGAUCAUGUAUACAAAAGUGUCAAAUGACAGCCCAUAAUAAGCACCUAAUAGAUGGUACUUUAUUUUCUUUCUUCCUUUUCUUACUCUUCCUUUGAGUUUCUGAUUUUCUCCUUCCACUCAAGCUUUAUCAUAUUCUACCAGCUCCACAUCCAUGCAGUGCCUGUGAGUGGAUGGCAGUGAUGUUAAUAGGAUUUAAUAUUUGUUUAUCAUAUACUGUAUGGUGGGUACUGGGUUAAGUACUUUACAUGAAUCCUCUGUUUUGAGAACUUGUUUGGAGGUUUGGAGAUAUACCCUUGACCGAAGACUGGUCCUCCUCUAUCAGAGACAGUCGUCCUCUUGAAGCAUGCAGCUUUGGGAGGGAUGAACAUGGAGUGGUGAGGGGGGAAGGGGACACCCGCCUAACCAGCUAGAUCAGCCAGAUCAGCCCUGGCGAUCAACAGGGUGACAGAUGUUACAGCUAGAUCGCCCUCACAUCCGAAUCCUCUAUUUUGAGCCUCACCGUUGGAGGUAAUUGUCCUUAUUUUAUCGUUAAAGAAACUAAAAUCCAGACAGAUGAAGCAAUUUCUCCAAAGUCACAUUCCCAGUAAAUGGCAGAGUCAGAAUUUGAAUGCGGGUCCGACCGACUCAAUGAAUUUUAGAUACAUAGUGUUUACGUGUUCAAGUACAAUUUUUAAAAAUGAAUAAUAUAUGUUGCUUUUGAUUCUGUAAUCUAGAGGUUCUCAACCUUGGCAUUAUUGACAUCUAGGAUCAGAUCAUUCUGUGUUGUGAAGACUGUCCUGUGUAUGGGCUGAUUUCAACCUAACUACAUGAUGUCACCGAAGGCAGAGUUGGGAAGCAAUGCCCAGUAGCGCACCGUUAUAUAUCAUUUCCACCAUACAGAGCUUAAACAAUAAGAAAGGGAGAGGGGAUCUCCGAAUAUGAGGAUCGACCAAGCAGUUGGGAAGCGAAAUGGUUUUUUUGGGAGAAUUGGCUGGUUUGGAAUUCAAAGUGUAUUUAGUGGGGAAAGAUGAAUGUAACUUGUCUAGGUUAUGGCUCUUUUAGUUGCAAGUGACGGAAACAAAAUUAAAUUGGCUUAAGC